rnacentral:rRNA from 1 species
CUACGGGUUGCUCCAGUUUCGAAUAAUUCACAAUGGGCGCAAGCCUGAUGAUGCGACGUUACGUGAAGGAAGAAAGCUUUAAGUUGUAAACUUCUGUCGUUAAGGAACAAAAAAUUAAGUAGUACUUUUUAUAUUGAGUUAACUUAAAAAGGAAGCAGUGACUAAUUUCGUGCCAGCAGCCGCGGUAAUACGGGAACUGCAAGCGUUGCUCUGUUUUAUUGGGCGUAAAGAGUACGUAGGCUGUUAUAUAUGUUAAUUGUUAAAUUUUAAAGUUAAUCUUUAAAUUUGCUGUUAAAACUAUAUAACUAGAAUUUCAAAGAGGUAAGUGGAAUUUCAAGUGUAGCGGUGAAAUGCGUAGAUAUUUGAAGGAACACCAAUGGCGAAAGCAACUUACUGGGUGAUAAUUGACGCUAAAGUACGAAAGUACAGGGAGCAAAAGGGAUUAGAUACCCCUGUAGUC